ACCCAAUUUGCCUGGGCCGGCGAGCUAGGGUUAGGUUUACCAGCGAGAGGACGCCGCCCCGUCAUGUUGUAGGUGCUGUUAUUACCCGCCGUCGGCCCCGUGUGCUUGUGGCCGGCCCGUACUGAUGAUGUUGUUCUGUGGCUGGCCGCCCUGUGUGUUCGUGCUGCUGCUGCUUACCGUUCACCGUCAUGACUUUUGUUAUGACAUUAGUUUUGUUCAGAAAGCGGUUUAAGUGAAGAUCGUAUGGUUUUUAGAUUAUGUGGAGAAUACAUGAGUACUCUUAUGUAGCGUAUUGUUGUUCAACUGAGACAUAUGCAAUGGGUCUGAUCAUGGCAGCGGGUUAAUUAAAGCCAUGAUAAACACUAUACAUGCAGCCGCAAGGUCAGCCUGUUUCUUCAGAUCUUGCAGCACCAAGGUGUCUCUCCACAAAAUUUGUGUAUCCACCGUUGACAUUGGUAUUUAUUCGGGAAAGAAGGAACAACACAGUAGACCAAAGCAAAGGAAGAUCAGCCUGAAUCGAUGAACACAAUAGAUAUGGCUAGAAGUUCCUGAAUGUGUAGGUUAGUAGACUGCCCUGAUGAAAUGGUUCAACAGAUAAACAUAGUAUGGGAGGGUUUUUGUGUGCAUGUAUGGGUAACUAAUCUAGAUUUUGAUGUCCACAAUAAGCGUACAACACAAUUACUGCACGUUAAUUCGUUAUCCGGUAUGGAAUUAAUUACCCAAUUUUUAUAUUGGAGAUAUAUUGUAGUUCCGUACCUGUAAUGCAACAUUGUAGCUCUGUAGCUGUAAUACAAUAUUUUGUCCAUUUCCUUUUCACUAAUGCUGAAAUUUCUUCCUAUAACUCGAGUUCUUAAUGUGGUCGUUUCUUGAUGGAGUUGGUAGAAUUUCGUUCCCAUGUGAUGUCCAUCUUUGUAAAAUAGGGAAUAUCAAGAUGGCGCUAACCGGUGCGUAGUACCUUAGGUGAUGCACAACACAACAAGAGAGGUGUUUGCGGUGGUGCGCCACACCGACACCAGUGGUUCAGAACAGGGUAUGGUCCGUAGUGUUCCUCUAGUCUAGGGAUUAAAUUAUGUUGUUCAGGCUCAUAUUUUAUAGUAAACAAUAAGCCAUUUUCAGUUAUGACAUUCUGUUACAGAAAAUUGUGUCUCAUAUAAAUAUAUUCUUGUCGAAAUAGUGGGAGUUUAGUCCUCUUUCAGAGUUUAAUAUUGGCCUAUUGAAACUUUGACAAUGUAUGUAGCAGGGUUUCUCAACGGAAACCAUGUCAAGUUCUGUUUACCUUUAGGGUGGAGUUAAAAUUGUUCGCAGGAUCCUGGGUACACCAUGUGGAUAUCUACGCAGGAAUAGAAAAACUGCAGCUUAAAGAACUGGAAGAAUUCCAAGAAAGAUCAUUGCUUCAAGGUUGGGAGCGGCCACAACAUAAUUGGCAUCAAAAUUAGAUGGGUCAUACAUAUCCUGUCUCGCUUGUUGUUGUGGAACAGUCAUCUGAUAUGUUCAUAUGUGAAUGAUCCACCCAAUCAUCUACAAUGCUUUCCAAGGACAUUAUGGUCCCAACAUUGGAGCCAAAAGAUCAUGUGGCAAUAUCAAAUGAAAUCCCUACAACACUUCAAGGAACACCAAAUGGUGUUGAACACAUUGCUUUGUAUGCAAGUGUUAUACAAGACAAAAAGCAACAAAGGCGAUACCGUGAUAAAGCAUGGAGAGAUAGUCUAACAACCUAGCAGAGAUGAGAAAUGACUGCACGUUGAAAAUCAACUAGACAAAAUAAAACUAACAAAGAGAGGAAUGCAAACCAAAGGGAAGUUAGGAAAAAUCUUACAGCCAAGGAGAGGAACGAGACGAAUGCCAACAGAAGGGGAGCCAAUAAAAAUAAGUCAGCCGAGCUGAGGCAAGAGAUGAAUGCAUGCCGAAGAGCACGUAGGCAGAGCACACCACCAGAGGAGAGGAAGACGUUGUGGGCUAAGCACAACACAGCCUUCUAGCUAGACGGAAGACCCCGUGUGCUGAAUCUAUCACAAUGCCUUGCCCAGGUUGUUUCGGCAUUUCUUGGAUUACAAACUGGUUUCCUUUGUGGCUGGUUUUAGAUAACCAGAGAGACUGGUCUACCGGGAGGAAUGGGUAAAUUCCCAUUUGUUAUUCAUAAUAAUAUGUGAGAUAUUUAUUGCACUACUGUUUAUUAUAAAAGCCGACAGUGAACCACGAGAGAUGAUAAUCGGAGUUGAAUAUGACAUUGAUGCGUUAUGGGGGGAUGGAGAACACAAUAAUGCCAUGAAAAGCAUAGAUGGAUGAAGGUUUAGGAAGACGACAAUAUUGUUUGUUGAGCACUUAAAUGGAGAAAACACAACAUGGAGGGUAGGUAUCACGGUGGUUGCUACCGAGAGAGAAAUGAAAAGAAGAAAAGACACAAAGCGGAAGACAAUCAGUAUCCUACAAUGGUAUACGCAUGGUGUGGCCCCUCACACUAAGAUGAUCGAGCAGCGACCUACUGUUCACAAUACAGAUUGAUGAUGCCUCCUCAAUAUCUACUUCUUCGCCGCCCCCAACCCUGGUAUAGUAUGAAAAUCCUACAAAUAAAUAAGAAGAAUAGGUAAUUAUCGAAUGCUUAUGUUUGUUGGUGUAUUAGUUCUUUUAGGUCCAAUCCUGUAGGAUGUUUCUCACACUUUCAUUUAGUUGAGUGAUUUUGUAUGCUAAUAAUACAAUAGAUUGAUCUACUUAAUAUUUUUGAGUGCAUGAUGCUUUGAUGUGAAGGUCUACAUUAUUAUUGUUGGGCCUAAAUGACAUCAGAGACUUGAACGGGGGAUGAUGCCUCAUUUACCUGAUUGGUGUGCUUUCUUAGUUCCAUUUUGUGAGUAAAUCAUGGUGUAAUUGCGUCUUACCUUCUGUGCGGGAUUGUACGUGUGUGCUUCAUCACUUUUUUGUUUCUUAUAAAUUGUCCUUAUUUUGUUUCUUAUGUUCAGGUUUAGGUUUAGGUUUAGAUGUUUUCUUCAACCUGCAGGCUCAGUCACCUUCAAUCUACUACUUCGACUUCCAUGCGGAAUGUUCAACAAAAUAUCCAACAGAAGUACAACUGCUCUUAAUUUGUGUUGUUGUGUUUUGAAUGAUGACUCUAGGUAUAGUAGAAAUGUAGUAUUAGGAAUACAUGGACGUGCAUAUGCAUUUCAUGGCUGUACUAUGGGGGAGGCAUGAGGUCAAUAUCCCAUAUUAGCUAUAUCUUGUUCAUAUAUUUUUGUGUUUGCUCUCGGCGGUGGGUUGUGGCUGUUUGAUAAUGGUCCAAUUUGGUUGUUUUGACGAUCUUAUCAAUAUAUUUUACACUAUAGAAAUUAAA